rnacentral:miRNA from 1 species
GAAAGGGGCUGGAAGAUAGGGAGAAAAUGGAAGAGUCAAGGGGCUGGGAUUUUUUUUUUUUUCCCAGCCCCUUGACUCUUCCAUUUUCUCCCUAUCUUCCAGCCCCUUUCUGAAC